AACGUAGGAGGCAAGCGUUAUCCGGAUUUACUGGGCGUAAAGGGCGUGCAGGUGGUUUUCUAAGUGGUGCGUGAAACACCCCGGCUCAAGCUGGGGAGGGUCGUGCGAUACGGUCGGGCUGGGAGGCCAGUAGGGGGAUGCGGAAUUCCGGGUGUAGUGGUGGAAUGCGUAGAGAGUCCGGAGGAACACCAGCGGCGAAGGCGGCAUCCUGGACUGGUCCUGACGCGUCAGGAGCGAAAGCGUGGGGAGCCGAUCCGG
rnacentral:rRNA from 1 species